GCGAUGUCCCCCGGGGGUCCCGGCUGGGGCUGGGACCCCCCGUUCCAGCUGUGGCUGCAGGCGCUGCUCUGGGCGCUGCUUUUGGGGCGCCUCCUCCGCUACGGGGGGGGCCCGGGCCGGGGGGAGCCCCCCCGGGAGCAGCCCGGGCCGGGGGCACCCCAAAACCGGGGAGGGACCCCCCAGAGUGAGCCCUGAUCGGGGGGGGAAGAGGGACACCUCCAAAGCUCCCUCCUUGUCCCCCCGAGUCGUUUCGGGGGUCCCUAAAGGGGGGUUGCUCCUGCCUCAGUUUCCCCCGUCGCGGGGGGGGCUCAUUUUCCCCCCGGGGGUCACUGGUCCGACUGGGCCGUACCGGGAGCCCCCGGGGACAGCGGCCGGCGACAGCUGCGGACACGAUCCUGCAGGACCUGAGCCCAGAGCGCCUGGAGGCACCCCAAAACGCACAGCUGCACCCCAGAAUGAACAGCUGCACCCCAAAAUGCACAGCUGGACCCCAAAAUAGAUACCUGGACCUGAAAAUAGACACCUGGACCCCAAAAAACGCACAGCUGGACCCCAAAAUAGACACAUGGACAUCAAAAACGCACAGCUGGACCCCAAAAUGCACAGCUGGACCCCUAAAUGCAUGGUUGGACCCCAAAAUGCACAGCUGGACCCCAAAAUAGACAUCUGGACAUCAAAAACGCACAGCUGGACCCCAAAAUGCACAGCUGCACCCCAAAAUGCACAGCUGAACCCCAAAAAUGCACAGCUGCACCCCAAAGCACCCCAUAAACCCAGAACUCCCAAACCUGGAGAUACCUGCAGUACACCUGAACCCCAGGAGUUUGGGGAGCCCCAGGGCUGUGACCCUGCUUUUGGGGUUUUGGGGUGUCCCAGGGCAGUGACUCCCCUGCUUUAACCCCCCCCAGGUGGAAGCCCCCCCUUUUGUCCCCAAAUGGGGGUCCCCAAAACCGGGGGGGGUCCCCAAAACCCCCUGGGAGGGGGAGCCAGCCCCCCCAAAUCUUUGUUGUAAACGGCUUUGGGAUGAAUCAAUAAAGUUUGGGAUAAAAGUCGA